rnacentral:rRNA from 1 species
UACGUAGGGCGCAAGCGUUAUCCGGAUUUAUUGGGCGUAAAGAGCUCGUAGGCGGCUUGUCGCGUCGACUGUGAAAACCCGCGGCUCAACCCCGAGCCUGCAGUCGAUACGGGCAGACUAGAGUGCUGUAGGGGAGACUGGAAUUCCUGGUGUAGCGGUGAAAUGCGCAGAUAUCAGGAGGAACACCGGUGGCGAAGGCGGGUCUCUGGGCAGUAACUGACGCUGAGGAGCGAAAGCGUGGGGAGCAAACAGG